UACGUAGGGUGCGAGCGUUGUCCGGAAUUAUUGGGCGUAAAGGGCUCGUAGGCGGUUUGUCGCGUCGGGAGUGAAAACGCCGUGCUUAACACGGCGCUUGCUUUCGAUACGGGCAGGCUAGAGGUAUGCAGGGGAGAACGGAAUUCCUGGUGUAGCGGUGAAAUGCGCAGAUAUCAGGAGGAACACCGGUGGCGAAGGCGGGUCUCUGGGCCGUAACUGACGCUGAGGAGCGAAAGCAUGGGGAGCGAACAGG
rnacentral:rRNA from 1 species